ensembl:lncRNA
UCAGAAUGACUUGAUAUUGAUAUGGUAUCACUGUGAGGUUGUAUACUGUUGAUCUAAAGUGGAAUUACCCUGUGGAAACAGGAAUUUUCCAUUUUAGAGCAUUUUGAAAUCACUGAAAGGUAGGUCAACUAUGGACAAUUUGAAAAGGCUUUUAUUUUUGAAAGCAAAAUCAGAAUGACUUGAUAUUGAUAUGGUAUCACUGCGGGGUUGUAUACUGUUGAUCUAAAGUGGAAUUACCCUGUGGAAACAGGAAUUUUUCAUUUUAGAGCAUUUUGAAUCGUUAGGAGAUUAAGUCAAAUAUCGGCAAUUUCAAAGGGCCAUUACUAUGAAAAGCAAAAUCAGAAAGAAUUUAUUUGAUAUGGUAUUACUGUGAAAAAGACUGCGGUUGGAAAGUGUUGAUACAAAGUUCAAAUAGUAUUUGGAAAUACGACUUUUGCUUUUAAGAGCAUUAUGAAUUCAUUGAAAGAGUAGUUCAAAAAUGAAGAUUCACAGGGCUUUUACUUUGAAAUCCAAAAU